UACGUAGGGUGCGAGCGUUAAUCGGAAUUACUGGGCGUAAAGCGCGCGUAGGUGGUUCGUUAAGUUGGAUGUGAAAGCCCCGGGCUCAACCUGGGAACUGCAUCCAAAACUGGCGAGCUAGAGUAUGGCAGAGGGUGGUGGAAUUUCCUGUGUAGCGGUGAAAUGCGUAGAUAUAGGAAGGAACACCAGUGGCGAAGGCGACCACCUGGGCUAAUACUGACACUGAGGUGCGAAAGCGUGGGGAGCAAACAGG
rnacentral:rRNA from 1 species